UGGGGAAUAUUGCACAAUGGGCGCAAGCCUGAUGCAGCAACGCCGCGUGAAGGAUGAAGGCCUUCGGGUCGUAAACUUCUGUCCAAAGGGAAGAACAAAUGACGGUACCUUUGGAGGAAGCCCCGGCUAACUACGUGCCAGCAGCCGCGGUAAUACGUAGGGGGCAAGCGUUAUCCGGAAUUACUGGGCGUAAAGAGUGCGUAGGUGGCACUGUAAGCGCAGGGUUUAAGGCAACGGCCCAACCGUUGUUUGCCCUGCGAACUGCAGAGCUUGAGUGCAGGAGGGGAAAGUGGAAUUCCUAGUGUAGCGGUGAAAUGCGUAGAUAUUAGGAGGAACACCGGUGGCGAAGGCGACUUUCUGGACUGUAACUGACACUGAGGCACGAAAGCGUGGGUAGCAAACAGG
rnacentral:rRNA from 2 species